rfam:Colius striatus contig94654, whole genome shotgun sequence.
AACCAAAGUGUUGAGUUCAGUUCAGGGUUGUUGCCCCUGUUCUGGUAAUUAAGCUUUGGGACAGUGAGGGACUGGGAUGUGCACUAUGGUGACUGAAGGUUUGGUUCAUGCCACCUGUGUUUCUCAGCCUACAAAC